rnacentral:misc_RNA from 1 species
AACUUUUAGCACCGGAUCUCUUGGUUCUGGCAUCGAUGAAGAACGCAGCGAAAUGCGAUAAGUAAUGUGAAUUGCAGAAUUCAGUGAAUCAUCGAAUCUUUGAACGCACAUUGCGCCCGCCAGUAUUCUGGCGGGCAUGCCUGUUCGAGCGUCAUUUCAACUCUCAAGCCCCCUGUGGACUUGGUGUUGGGGACCGGCGACAGCCUCUCUUGUCUGUCGCCGCCCCCUAAAUGAAUUGGCGGCCCCGUCGCGGCCCUCCUCUGCGUAGUAGCUAACACCUCGCAACAGGAGCCCGGCGGCGGCCACUGCCGUAAAACACCCCAAUCUUUUUUAGAGUUGACCUCAAAUCAGGUAGGAAUACCCGCUGAACUUAAGCAUAUCAAUAAGCGGAGGCU